ensembl:snRNA U2 U2 spliceosomal RNA
AUCGCUUCUCGGCCUUUUGGCUAAGAUCAAGUGUAGUAUCUGUUCUUAUCAGUUUAAUAUCUGAUACGUCCCCUACCCGGGGACCAUAUAUUAAAUUGAUUUUUGGAAUAGGGAGAUGGAAUAGGGGCUUGCUCCGUCCACUCCACGCAUCGACCUGGUAUUGCAGUACCUCCAGGAACGGUGCACCCCCU